rnacentral:rRNA from 1 species
AUUGAACGCUGGCGGCAGGCCUAACACAUGCAAGUCGAACGGUAACAGGAAGAAGCUUGCUUCUUUGCUGACGAGUGGCGGACGGGUGAGUAAUGUCUGGGAAACUGCCUGAUGGAGGGGGAUAACUACUGGAAACGGUAGCUAAUACCGCAUAACGUCGCAAGACCAAAGAGGGGGACCUUCGGGCCUCUUGCCAUCGGAUGUGCCCAGAUGGGAUUAGCUAGUAGGUGGGGUAACGGCUCACCUAGGGGACGAUACCUAGCUGGUCUGAGAGGAUGACCAGCCACACGGGAAUUUAGACACGGUCCAGACUCCUACGGGAGGCAGCAGUGGGGAAUAUUGCACAAUGGGCGCAAGCCUGAUGCAGCCAUGCCGCGUGUAUGAAGAAGGCCUUCUGGUUGUGAAGUACUUUCAGCGGGGAGGAAGGGAGUAAAGUUAAUACCUUUGCUCAUUGACGUUACCCGCAGAAGAAGCACCGGCUAACUCCGUG